rnacentral:rRNA from 1 species
AGACCCGAAACCCGGUGAUCUAGCCAUGGGCAGGUUGAAGGUUGGGUAACACUAACUGGAGGACCGAACCGACUAAUGUUGAAAAAUUAGCGGAUGACCUGUGGCUGGGGGUGAAAGGCCAAUCAAACCGGGAGAUAGCUGGUUCUCCCCGAAAGCUAUUUAGGUAGCGCCUCGUGAAUUCAUCUCCGGGGGUAGAGCACUGUUUCGGCUAGGGGGCCAUCCCGGCUUACCAACCCGAUGCAAACUGCGAAUACCGGAGAAUGUUAUCACGGGAGACACACGGCGGGUGCUAACGUCCGUCGUGAAGAGGGAAACAACCCAGACCGCCAGCUAAGGUCCCAAAGUCAUGGUUAAGUGGGAAACGAUGUGGGAAGGCCCAGACAGCCAGGAUGUUGGCUUAGAAGCAGCCAUCAUUUAAAGAAAGCGUAAUAGCUCACUGGUCGAGUCGGCCUGCGCGGAAGAUGUAACGGGGCUAAACCAUGCACCGAAGCUGCGGCAGCGACGCUGAUGCGUUGUUGGGUAGGGGAGCGUUCUGUAAGCCUGCGAAGGUGGCCUGUGAGGGUUGCUGGAGGUAUCAGAAGUGCGAAUGCUGACAUAAGUAACGAUAAAGCGGGUGAAAAGCCCGCUCGCCGGAAGACCAAGGGUUCCUGUCCAACGUUAAUCGGGGCAGGGUGAGUCGACCCCUA